GACGAACGCUGGCGGCGUGCUUAACACAUGCAAGUCGAGCGGUAAGGCCCUUCGGGUACGACGAGCGGCGAACGGGUGAGUAACACGUGGGUGACCUGCCCUUAGCUCUGGGAUAAGCCUGGGAAACUGGGUCUAAUACCGGAUAUGACCUCAUGACGCAUGUUGUGGGGUGGAAAGCCUUGUGCGGCUAGGGAUGGGCCCGCGGCCUAUCAGCUUGUUGGUGGGGUGAUGGGCCACCAAGGCGACGACGGGUAGCCGGCCUGAGAGGGCGACCGGCCACACUGGGACUGAGACACGGCCCAGACUCCUACGGGAGGCAGCAGUGGGGAAUCUUGCGCAAUGGGCGAAAGCCUGACGCAGCGACGCCGCGUGAGGGAUGACGGCCU
rnacentral:rRNA from 1 species